rfam:Schistosoma rodhaini strain Burundi genome assembly, scaffold: SROB_scaffold0004081
AUCCAGCUGACGAGUCACGAACAGGAUGAAACGCGCGUUCUGGAU